rnacentral:rRNA from 1 species
GACGAACGCUGGCGGCGUGCUUAACACAUGCAAGUCGAACGGAAAGGCCCUGCUUUUGUGGUGUGCUCGUGUGGCGAACGGGUGAGUAACACGUGAGUAACCUGCCCUUGACUUUGGGAUAACUUCCGGUAACUGGGGCUAAUACCUGAUAGGUGCUCCUGCUGCAUGGUGUGGGUUGGAAAUUUUCGGCGGUUGGGGAUGGACUCGCGGCUUAUCAGCUUGUUGGUGGGGUAGUGGCUUACCAAGGCUUUGACGGGUAGCCGGCCUGAGAGGGUGACCGGGCACAGUGGGACUGAGGUGCGGCCCGGAGUCCUACGGGAGGCAGCAGUGAGGGAUAUUGCAAAAUGGGCGGAAGGAUGAAGCAGCAACGCCGCGUGGGGGAGGACGGCCAUCGGGGUGUAAAGCGCUUUCGGCUGUGACGAAGCGUGAGUGACGGUAAUGGGUAAGGAAGCACCGGCUAACUACGUG